rnacentral:rRNA from 1 species
UACGAAGGGAGCUAGCGUUGUUCGGAAUCACUGGGCGUAAAGCGCACGUAGGCGGAUGUGUCAGUCAGGGGUGAAAUCCCGGAGCUCAACUUCGGAACUGCCUCUGAUACAGCACGUCUUGAGUCCGAUAGAGGUGGGUGGAAUUCCUAGUGUAGAGGUGAAAUUCGUAGAUAUUAGGAAGAACACCGGUGGCGAAGGCGGCUACCUGGACGGGUACUGACGCUGCAGCGCGAAAGCUAGGGGAGCAAACAGG